rnacentral:misc_RNA from 1 species
CUGAGUGAGGGCCCUCUGGGUCCAACCUCCCACCCGUGUUUAUUGUACCUUGUUGCUUCGGUGCGCCCGCCUCACGGCCGCCGGGGGGCUUCUGCCCCCGGGCCCGCGCCCGCCGAAGACCCCAACACGAACACUGUUCUGAAUUGCAGUCUGAGCAUAAACUAAAUAAGUUA